rnacentral:rRNA from 1 species
GCUUGUCUCAAAGAUUAAGCCAUGCAUGUCUUAGUGUAAAUAACUCUUAUGAAACUGCGAAUGGCUCAUUAAAUCAGUUAUCGUUUAUUUGAUAGUACCUUACUACUUGGAUAACCGUGGUAAUUCUAGAGCUAAUACAUGCUAAAAACCCCAACUUCGGGAGGGGUGUAUUUAUUAGAUAAAAAACCAAUGCCCUUCGGGGCUCUUUGGUGAUUCAUGAUAACUUAACGGAUCGCAUGGCCUUGCGCCGGCGACGGUUCAUUCAAAUUUCUGCCCUAUCAACUUUCGAUGGUAAGGUAUUGGCUUACCAUGGUUUCAACGGGUAACGGGGAAUUAGGGUUCGAUUCCGGAGAGGGAGCCUGAGAAACGGCUACCACAUCCAAGGAAGGCAGCAGG